rnacentral:rRNA from 1 species
UACGUAGGUGGCAAGCGUUGUCCGGAAUUAUUGGGCGUAAAGCGCGCGCAGGCGGUCCUUUAAGUCUGAUGUGAAAGCCCACGGCUCAACCGUGGAGGGUCAUUGGAAACUGGGGGACUUGAGUGCAGGAGAGAAGAGUGGAAUUCCAGGUGUAGCGGUGAAAUGCGUAGAUAUCUGAAGGAACACCAGUGGCGAAAGCGGCUUCCUGGUCCAGUACCGACGUUCAGGCACGAAAGCGUGGGGAGCAAACAGG